GGAAACGUUAUAAGCUUAGUGGUAGAGCGUCUCUUUCGUAUGCAGGUGAGUCCCAGGUUCAAUCCCUGGCAUCUCCA